AAACUGCCGAAUUUCCUUGCACAGGGAAACGGGGGAACCAGAUUUGCCGGGUGAAUUGAUUCCGCUUCGCUAGCAGGAAUCAUAGGGAACCUUCUACCGAACCCUUCAGCUAACCUCGUAGGCAUUGGAAGGA
rnacentral:sRNA from 1 species